rnacentral:misc_RNA from 1 species
UAAUAUAAUAAUUAUCACGAUCUCACCGAUUGUGGAAUUGGGCUCUUAUUUCGAACAGAUUUAUGGCCUUAAAUUUACGCCAUGCGAUUAAUUCGAACCAAGCGGAGCAAUUAAACAUUCUCUCGUGGACGGAUUACUCGCAAGCCAUUACGGUUUUUUGGACGACAAAGCGCUUUCGCGAGCGCGAAGCCCAAAGGACGUAAAUUCAUUGAC